rnacentral:rRNA from 1 species
GUCCUAGCCAUAAACGAUGGAUACUGGAUGUGGAGCAUCAUAUGCUCUGUGUCGAAGCUAACGCGUUAAGUAUCCCGCCUGGGGAGUACGACCGCAAGGUUGAAACUUAAAGGAAUUGACGGGGACCCGCACAAGCGGUGGAGCAUGUGGUUUAAUUCGACGAUACGCGAAAAACCUUACCAGAUCUUGACAUUCUAAAGAAAUGUGCAGAAAUGUACAUGUCUCUUCGGAGACUUUAGAACAGGUGGUGCAUGGCC